GAGUGCGCAGGCGCCGGCCGUGAGGACCGACCGUGCGCCGGGCUCGAGCGCGGUCUGAGAGCGCGGCGGCGGCGGCGACGGCGGCUGGCGGACGGACGGACGGACCGCGGACCGACGCACGGACCCCGACCCGCGAGCCCUAGGAGCCGGCGGCCUGAGGAGGGGCCGCGUCGCCAUGUCGCCCCGCACCUGCUGAACCGGGAGCGCCCGAGGAUGUCCGCGCUGAGGAAGGCUUUCCCGCCAUCCGAGGCUUGGCCCUAGCCCUGCGCGGCAUCCCUCUCGGCUGCGAACCCUCUGCCUGCGCCCGGCCCAGCCACAAUGGGGACUGCUCAGGUUUUGCCUGGCAUUCUGCAGAAGCAUUGCUGUAUCUUACCAGACAGGAAUACAGGCCAUCUCCAAACUAGAGUCACUUUGGGCUGGGGCACCAAUGUAUGGAUUUGAUGUGUGCAUAUUUCAGUUUAUAGCACUCACCAAACCACAGAAGCUUCCCAGAGCUGAUGUCAUGCUGUCGCUGAGGCCACAGGACACUGUCCCAUUGCUGCAGGGACCCUCUCACUCUCUGAGCGGUCACCUGAGGCUGGCGCACACCAUUUUCUUAUUCUAUGCACUGCAGCAAAAAUGUUUAAUUGACUGCAAUGGGUGAUUCCUAAAGGUAUAUUUGACUCAGAAAAAAAUGCAUUGGUAAAAGUCACUGUUUGAAUGUUUCCAGUAUUCAGAGCCCAGGUCACUACCUUUCUAAAAUGAUUGGUAUCUGAAAUAAGAACCCUGGCUGCAGCCUACAACCAUGCUCUUUCUACUGUAUAAACCUCCCUAAUCAAAUACUUUUUCAUAACAACAUAUGUUUUUGGAAAUGAAAAGUUAUGACCUGG